ACCGCCACUGUGGCGAGGAUAUAAAACUAGCAUGUGUACCGGUCCACCUCACACACUGAACCGCGAGUCUGCUCGGUCACUCCGACACUUUAAGGAAGAAACUCAGAACAAAUCCGGUUUAAACAGCAGAAAUGAGGUGCAGUGUCCGGACUCUGCACCAACACCACUAAUGAAGAGAAGUUGAAUGGAGAUAAAACAGGAGGUGCCAGCAUUAUGGGAUGGCGGUGUAAGCUCUGCACAUUUGUCGUAUCAUCAAAAGGAAUUUCGAUCAUUAUCGAGUGAAGCAUGGUACUGUUGGUCAUGGAUAUUUAGUGUCCUGUCUUCAUUUAGACUGUCAUUGCUUCUUUAAGACCUGAGAAGGUCUGCACAC